AUCCAGCUGACGAGUCCCAAAUAAGACGAAGUGGCGCGCAUCCAACUGGAU
rnacentral:hammerhead_ribozyme from 1 species